UACCAGCACCCCGAGUGGUCGGGACGAUUAUUGGGCCUAAAGCAUCCGUAGCCGGUACUGCAAGUCUUCCGUUAAAUCCACCUGCUUAACAGUUGGGCUGCGGGGGAUACUAUAGCGCUAGGAGGCGGGAGAGGCAAGCGGUACUCAAUGGGUAGGGGUAAAAUCCGCUGAUCCAUUGAAGACCACCAGUGGCGAAGGCGGCUUGCCAGAACGCGCUCGACGGUGAGGGAUGAAAGCUGGGGGAGCAAACCGG
rnacentral:rRNA from 1 species